GUAGGUGGCAAGCGUUGUCCGGAAUUAUUGGGCGUAAAGCGCGCGCAGGGCGGUCCUUUAAGUCGGAUGUGAAAGCCCACGGGCUCAACCGUGGAGGGUCAUUGGAAACUGGGGGACUUGAGUACAGAAGAGGAAAGCGGAAUUCCAAGUGUAGCGGUGAAAUGCGUAGAGAUUUGGAGGAACACCAGUGGCGAAGGCGGCUUUCUGGUCUGUAACUGACGCUGAGGCGCGAAAGCGUGGGGAGCAAACAGGAUUAGAUACCCUGGUAGUCCACGCCGUAAACGAUGAGUGCUAAGUGUUAGGGGGUUUCCGCCCCUUAGUGCUGCAGCUAACGCAUUAAGCACUCCGCCUGGGGAGUACGGCCGCAAAGGCUG
rnacentral:rRNA from 1 species